UAAGACCUUCAGGUGCUGUGAGGGAAUUAGAUGGCCCAUAAUUCACAGCUUAAAAGUGAAAAGGAAAGUCCUGCAUUCUUUUCAGUAAUUCAGAAAAUGCUGAGCUCAGGCUAAAUUCAAAUUUUUAUUCAUUGCAACAAAUUAGAAGUUCAUCACAUAAGAGCUGUAUUACAAUAAUAUUAACUGUAAUCUUGAUUGAAAGGAGGGAAAAAUUUCUGGUUUUACAUUCAAGUGAAAAAAAAACAGAAAUGAGGAGAAUUUGUGUGCACCUGGGACAGACAGGAGACAUUGGAAGAAAAAUGAAUUAUCAGAGAAGACAAUUUUUAGUAGACAGUUAACUCUUCAAAGGGUGUUCUGUCUUCAGUCAUGCAAUUACAGUCAAAUAUUUUUGCUUGGAUCAGGUGAAAAAAUACUCUGUUUUCUUAGCUAUUGAGUUUUGACAGUCCCCAUCGUCUUAUUACUGUGGACAUUAAUUCCACUAUGGGGCAGUGGCAGUGUGACAGAUCUUGCCCUUCUGCAGCUCUGACUGUCAGAUUACACUGAUCCGAGUUACUGUUUGCUACUAUUUUCUUUUCUGAGCAGUCACCUUUAAUUACUCAAAGUCUCAGCCUCACUUCAUUGUAAAUCAAGCAGUAUUGGCAUUUCUGAAAAUAAUCUGAAGGUCACAUCUGGAAGAUGGGAAUAUAUUUUCCCAUAGAAGAUAUUGAAGGCUUUCUGAUUAUGCCAGAGCACACAGUUAAGUAUAUGGAACCAUUAAAGUUUGACAAGGCACCUGAUCUAGAUGAAUAACAUUCCCAAAUUCCAGAGGAAUCAUAAAGCAUGAGGAUAAUGCAAUCAUUUGACAGCCUUUAAAAGUGAAAAGCCUUUGGAUCUCAAGCUCUGGAUCUUAGAAUCAGCUAAGCAUGAAUGCUGAGAAAUACUGAAAGGAGAAAGGUGAACAGCUUGCAGGGUGAGGUGAUCAGCGACAUGCAGCAAGGACAGAUUCAGUCUAUCCUAACCUGGAGAAGGGGAUGGGGAAGCCACAAGCACCUCCAGGCAGCAAUACAUUAAUCUGCUUUUUCAUUGCCCUGCAGAGGUGGCUCUCUCUGCAUUGAGAUGGAGGCCAAAUCAUUAGCAUGGACUAAAGCACCUCAUUUUUUGAAGGCUCAGAGUACUUUAGAGAGUUCCUGCCCAAAAGACUAUCUGACUCUGCGGGAGAGGGACAAAAAAGAAAAGCUUCAAGAGACAUUACCAGAAGAAUAAUAAGGGUGGAAGGACAAGAUGAGUAGAACAGUAUCACAAGUUUGCUGGUUGUUUGCUUUUAAAUUUGUUGACAUAUUUCUAUU